UACGGAGGGUGCGAGCGUUGUCCGGAAUCAUUGGGCGUAAAGGGCGCGUAGGUGGCCUGGCAAGCGUGCGGUGAAAGCUCGGGGCUCAACCCCGAGUCGGCCGUGCGAACUGGUAUGGCUCGAGCACUGUAGAGGCAGGCGGAAUUCCGGGUGUAGCGGUGGAAUGCGUAGAGAUCCGGAAGAACACCGGUGGCGAAGGCGGCCUGCUGGGCAGUAGCUGACACUGAGGCGCGACAGCGUGGGGAGCAAACAGG
rnacentral:rRNA from 1 species